GGUUAGGUUCGACCGGGAUAAGAUAGGUUAGGUAAGGUUCAAGAUGUUUUCGACAAAUCAAUUUCAAGAGUUUAUAGCCCACCCAGAAACAAAAGAAAUGUCAAAAAAAUUAUGUGGAAAUUGUAUACUCCGACACGGAUUAUACCUCGCCAGUCUUGUUUAUAAUGUCUGCUUGAGUGGUUCAACGUUAGACGAGAGUUUGGUGAAGCGAAAGGCUUUGCACUGCCAAACAAAGUUACUUUUAACUACAAGAGAAGGGCAGAUACAUGUGUGCAGAGGGUGGAAGAUGCAAGAUCGUAGCAACCUGUGUCCUCUGUCCUCAGCCUGAGGACGCGACGUGUCGUGGUGACAGGACAUGAAAAUGUACGCAUGUAACUUGUGUAGAGAUCGUACUUUUAAGGAAACAACAUGUUUGCCGCUCAAAACAAUUUUCUGCAACCUGACGCAAGCAGCAGCCCUGGACCGACCACACUCUCAGGUCUCUCUGUCCGUCAGCGUCAAUCCAUCAACAUGCCGCCGACCUGGCUACAGUCCUUGGACGCCGUGGCUGUUUCUCCCUGCAGAUGAAGACGUCGCCAGAACUGGACUGUUGCAAUUGUAGCGAAACGUUCCGACCUGCUUUACUUUGUGUCUCGAUGUAAAAGCGAAUAAUUACAAGUACAAAAAGUUGCGUCGUUAUGCUGAGUCAUUGUCAGAUUUACGCAGAAGUUACUGUUUGAAUUGGGAUAAUAUUAAAGUGGAUGUCAACAAUUAUGUGAAGAUGUGGACUCAAUUAUUUUGGUAUAGGAUACGGCUAACUUGUGAAUUUAGUAAUAAAAUUUCGGGUUCGAUAAAA